rnacentral:tRNA from 1 species
CACGGGAUAGCUCAGUUGGUUAGAGCACUACACUUUCACUGUAGUUGGAAAAUAGACUAAAAAUCUAUUUUUUUUA